rnacentral:rRNA from 1 species
UACGGAGGAUGCGAGCGUUAUCCGGAUUUAUUGGGUUUAAAGGGUGCGCAGGCGGCACGGCAAGCCGGCGGUCAAAUCGCGGGGCUCAACCCCGCCCAGCCGUCGGAACUGCCGGGCUAGAGUGGGCGAGAAGUGCGCGGAAUGCGUGGUGUAGCGGUGAAAUGCAUAGAUAUAUGGAGGAACACCGGUGGCGAAAGCGGCUCUCUGGCCUGUAACUGACACUGAGGCUCGAAAGCGUGGGGAGCAAACAGG